rnacentral:rRNA from 1 species
UAAGAAUUUAAAAGUCGAACAGACUUAUUACUAAGAGCUCUACCUCUUAUAAUUUUCUUAAUUCAACAUCGAGGUCGCAAAAUAUAAUAUAGAUAUGAACUCCCCAUUAAAAUUACGCUGUUAUCCCUAAGGUAACUUAAUCUUAUUAUCCUAAGUAUGAAUACACAUAGGGAUCUAAAAUUACACAAAUUAAUGAAUUUUUAAACUAAAGUUAAAUUAUUUAGUUACCACCCCAGCAAAAUAUAAGUUAAUAUUAUCAAAUAUACAAUAUAAAAUCUAAUAAAACAAACUUAUAUAAAGUUCUAUAGGGUCUUAUCGUCCCAAUAAUUUAUUAAAGCAUUUUGACUUUAAAUUUAAAUUUUAAUAUUUAAACAAAUAAAAUAUAUUUCUCAUACAUCCUUUCAUUCAAGCUUCCAAUUAAGAAACUAUUUACUAUGCUACCUUUGCACAGUCAAAAUACUGCAGCCAUUUAGAAAUCUUUCCAUAGGGCAGAAGGUACUUUUUAUAAAAACA